rnacentral:tRNA from 1 species
AGGGGCUUAGGUUCAAACUCAAACCAGCGACCUUCAAAGCCGCAAACAAGAGUUAAAAUCUCUUACCCCCUG